GAUGAACGCUGGCGGCGUGCCUAAUACAUGCAAGUAGAACGCUGAAGCUUGGUGCUUGCACCGAGCGGAUGAGUUGCGAACGGGUGAGUAACGCGUAGGUAACCUGCCUCUUAGCGGGGGAUAACUAUUGGAAACGAUAGCUAAUACCGCAUAAAAGUCGACAUCGCAUGAUGUUGACUUGAAAGGUGCAAUUGCAUCACUAAGAGAUGGACCUGCGUUGUAUUAGCUAGUUGGUGAGGUAACGGCUCACCAAGGCGACGAUACAUAGCCGACCUGAGAGGGUGAUCGGCCACACUGGGACUGAGACACGGCCCAGACUCCUACGGGAGGCAGCAGUAGGGAAUCUUCGGCAAUGGGGGCAACCCUGACCGAGCAACGCCGCGUGAGUGAAGAAGGUUUUCGGAUCGUAAAGCUCUGUUGUAAGAGAAGAACGAGUGUGAGAGUGGAAAGUUCACACUGUGACGGUAACUUACCAGAAAGG
rnacentral:rRNA from 1 species